rnacentral:rRNA from 1 species
UACGGCGAGUGAGCGGGAGUGCCCAAGAUGAAAAUCGCGCGAGUCGCGAAUUGUAGUGCGAGGCCGAGCGACGACAGGGGGACAGCGGCGCGCCGAAGCGCAUCGCAGCGCGCAGGAUAGGGUGAGAGCCCCGUACGCCGCGCCGCCGCCCCCCGCGAGACGCACGCGGCCCUCGAGUCGGGUUGCUUGGGACUGCAGCUCAAAGCGGGUGGUAAGUUCCAUCUAAGGCUCAAUACGGGCGGGAGGCCGAUAGCGAACAAGUACCGUGAGGGAAAGAUGAAAAGAAUUUUGGAAAGAGAGUUCAAAGACCUUGAAAUUGCUGAUUGGAUGAAGGGGAGCGCGCAGCGCCCGGGUUCCCCCUCGGGGGUCCCCGGUCGGCCGCCGCAUCUCCCGCGCGGCGCGGCACCCUACCGGCGGUAGCGACGGCUCCUCGGAGCCCCGCGAGACGGAGGGCGAUUCGGUCCGCCGCGCGGGAAGGAGCGCCCGGACCCCGUCCGGGCUCAGGCGGCAGUCGCGCGCUUCCUUCGCCCCGUCUUGAAACACGGACCAAGGAGUCUAACCUGCGCGCGAGUGCAAGGGACGUACAGAGACCCGUGCGCGCAAUGAAAGUGACGGUACCCGCGGGAAGGGGAGGCUCAGGCCGGAAUCCCCCGCACCGCGCGCCGGCCGGAAACGCUCCCCGGAGCCCGAAGGUCGAGCGGCAGCGCGCAGGCUGGGACCCGAAAGAUGGUGAACUAUGCCCGAGCAGGGCGAAGCCAGAGGAACUCUGGUGGAGCUCGCACGAUCUGACU